AUGCUCCAACCGGUUACUCGAAAAGAUAUCAACUCGUUGAUCAUCUUAACGGCGUGGACUAUCUGGAAGCAUAGGAACGCCGUUAUCUUUGACGACGCUCGACCCUCAUCCACCCAGCUAUCUAAUGUCAUCAUGUAGAGGGUGUGGCUAUGGGCCAGAGCCGCUGCCCAAGGCCUAGAUCGACUAAUGCAUGGAAGGGCAUCUUCAACGGUAACCCGUAAACUUCCCCCUGCAUCCUUCCGUGGACAUGAGGGGACCAGUCCGCGGACACGGAUACAGGAGACCGCCAUUCAACUAUAG
rnacentral:rRNA from 1 species